UACGUAGGGUGCGAGCGUUAAUCGGAAUUACUGAGCGUAAAGUGUGCGCAGGCGGCGUUGCAAGUCGAGUGUGAAAUCCCCGAGCUUAACUUGGGAAUUGCGCUCGAAACUACGUGGCUGGAGUGUGGCAGAGGAAGGUGGAAUUCCAGGUGUAGCGGUGAAAUGCGUAGAGAUCUGGAGGAACACCGAUGGCGAAGGCACCCUUCUGGGCCAACACUGACGCUCAUGCACGAAAGCGUGGGGAGCAAACAGG
rnacentral:rRNA from 1 species